GCUCCCAUCGUCCAGUGGUGAGGACCUCAGACUUUCACUCUGAAAACGCCGGUUCAAUUCCGGCUGGGAGUCCCA
rnacentral:tRNA from 1 species